GCCUUCGUGGUAGAGUGGUCAGCACGCUCGGCAUGUAUUCGAGAGGGCCGUGGUUCGAGUCCCGACGAGGGCA
rnacentral:tRNA from 1 species